rnacentral:ncRNA from 1 species
CUAAACGAAGUAUAUUUCACUCAUAUAAUCGUGGGGAUAUGGCCCACAAGUUUCUACCGGUUCACCGUAAAUGAACUGACUAUGAGAGCUCAUAUAAGUAGA